CCCGUUGGUGUGACGCUCCAGAGGCUCUGUUGAGCCCGUUGGUGGGCUAAGACUCUUUCUAAGGAUCUGCCAACAUAGGCCAGAUUCACACCAAGACCAUGAAGUCAAACCAAGGCUGUGAAGAAGGCAGCUUGGAUCAUCAUCUAGAAGUACUACACACACCCACUUAAGGAAUUCCACACCAACAACCACCUGUGCACAGAUAUCACCAUGAUUCCGCCUGCUAAGACAGAACUGGACCCCGCAGUCAGAGAAGAAACAUAGCCUUUUUCUGAGCCUACGAGACAU
rnacentral:lncRNA from 1 species